UUACGGUCACACUACGUUGAAACAACAGGUUCCACACGAUCACCGAAGUUAAGCAACAAAAAACCCUGGCCAGUACCAAGAUGGGUGACUGCUUGGGAAUACCAGGUGCUGUAAG